CCCUUAGAUGUUCUGGGCCGCACGCGCGCUACACUGAUGCAUUCAACGAGCCUAUCCUUGACCGACAGGUCCGGGUAAUCUUUGAAUCUGCAUCGUGACGGGGAUAGAUUAUUGCAAUUAUUAAUCUUCAACGAGGAAUGCCUAGUAGGCGCAAGACAUCAGCUUGCGUCGAUUACGUCCCUGCCCUUUGUACACACCGCCCGUCGCUCCUACCGAUUGGGUGUGCUGGUGAAAUGUUCGGAUCGGCCGUUUGUCGCGGUUUCCGCGUCAUGUGGCUGAGAAGUUCAUUAAACCCUCCCACCUAGAGGAAGGAGAAGUCGUAACA
rnacentral:rRNA from 1 species